rnacentral:tRNA from 2 species
GGGGAUAUAGUUUAAAUGGUAAAACUGCGAUUUUGCAUAUCGUUAUCUUAGGUUCGAUUCCUAAUAUCUCCA